rnacentral:rRNA from 1 species
GCGUGAAUCUGCCGGGACCAUCCGGUAAGGCUAAAUACUCCCGAGAGACCGAUAGUGGACCAGUACCGUGAGGGAAAGGUGAAAAGCACUUCGAACAGAAGAGUGAAACAGUACCUGAAACCGUGCGCCUACAAGCGGUCGGAGCACGAAAGUGUGACGGCGUGCCUUUUGCAUAAUGAACCUACGAGUUACCGUAUCUGGCAAGGUUAAGGGUCACGAGACCUGCAGCCGAAGCGAAAGCGAGUCUGAAGAGGGCGUCGAGUCAGUUGCGGUAGACGCGAAACCAAGUGAUCUACCCUUGGCCAGGAUGAAGUCUGGGUAACACCAGAUGGAGGUCCGCACCAAUAAGCGUUGAAAAGCUUCUGGAUGAGCUGAGGGUAGGGGUGAAAGGCUAAUCAAACUUGGAGAUAGCUCGUACUCCCCGAAAUGCAUUUAGGUGCAGCCUUGGGAAUUACUACUGUGAGGUAGAGCGACUGAUAAGAUGCGAGGGCUUCACCGCCUAUCAAGUCUUGACAAACUCCGAAUGCGCAUCAGUUCUACCGCAGGAGUGAGGGCAUGGGUGCUAAGGUCCGUGCCCGAGAGGAGAAGAAUCCGGACCACCUGCUAAGGUCCCGAAAUGACAGCUAAGUUAAACUAACGAAGUCUGACUGCUAAGACAGCUAGGAUGUUGGCUUGGAAGCAGCCAUUCAUUUAAAGAGUGCGUAACAGCUCACUAGUCGAGGAAUCGGGCGUGGAUAAUAAUCGGGUAUGAAGUUGUCUGCCGAAGCUAUAGAAUCAGCAAUGAUUGGUAGGGGAGCAUUCCAUUCGGCGUUGAAGGCGUGGCGUGAGCCAUUCUGGAGCGUAUGGAAAAGCAAAUGUAGGUAUAAGUAACGAUAAAGGGGGUGAGAAACCCCCUCGCCGAAAGACUAAGGUUUCCUGAUCAACGCUAAUCGGAUCAGGGUAAGUCGGGUCCUAAGGUUCAGCCGAACGGCGAGACCGAUGGCAGAAACGGUUAAUAUUCCGUUACUACCUUUGAGGGUGACGUGGGGACGCAGGAGUGACACCGCCGCCGGCUGACGGAAUAGCCGGUUAAAGAGUGUAGACGUUGAUUUCCGCAGGCAAAUCCACGGAAAGAGUCGAACUUGACAGUAUGGAACGUCCUUCGGGACAAUCCAAUAGUGCGGGUAAGCAGACUGCCGAGAAAAUCCGCUAAACAUAACUUCAGAGGUACCCGUACCGCAAACGGACACACGUAGUCGGGUUGAAUAUACUAAGGCGCUUGAGUGAUUCACGGUUAAGGAACUAGGCAAAUUGACCCUGUAACUUCGGGAUAAAGGGUCCCAACGAGAGUUGGGCGCAGAGAAUAGGUCCAGGCAACUGUUUAACAAAAACACAGGGCUGUGCCAAUAUGAAAGUAGACGUAUACAGCCUGACACCUGCCCGGUGCUGGAAGGUUAAGAGGAGAUGUCAUCGCAAGAGAAGCAUUGAAUUGAAGCCCCAGUAAACGGCGGCCGUAACUAUAACGGUCCUAAGGUAGCGAAAUUCCUUGUCGGGU